UGACUAAUAGAUAGAAAGUUGGAAAAAUAUAAUUUUUUCAAACAUAACAUGUAAUAGAAUAUUAUAAAAUAUUAGGCGAUCCCAUUAUCAAAGCACGGCAUUGAAAAUGUAAAACUAAAUCUAAUUAUAAAAUAUUGAAUUAUAAAAACGUUACAUAGCAAACACUGUCUCUAAGACCACAUUGCACCCGGUCACAAAAAAUUUCCGAAAGUAAAACUGCACUAACAGAGAAGGAUGGAGGAAGUGAGCGUCUUUUUCCAGAAAAUACUGCUGUUUCCAAUUAAUUUAUUCAUCAAUACAAAAUAUUCUAUUACGAGAAUAGAAUAUAUUUGAAAUAUUAUUUGUGCUUUGUACGAUAUUUCCUGAUAUUGACAAGUAUUUAUAAACGUUAUAAAUGUAAUACAAUCUAUCUGAAAAAAUUAUACUACGGAUGUUCGUUUCUUACUUAUAAACUACAUUUCUUUAAUAAAUAUUCAGAAAUGCUUGUGACAAACCAAAAUUCUAUAUGUAAACAUAUCCGAGGAUAGUGUCACGACUGGCUCACUUCAAAACCGGAGAUAAAGAUGUGACACUUGGCAACUUGGCAAGCACUUGGCAACAAUGUAUACCGCCGAAGCGAAGUGCCUAAUGAACCAUUAAUAUCCCAACGGUCCUUCCGUCGAAUGUUCGAUAAGAAGGCGUGUGUGGCAACAGUCGCGGACGCGUAACGAACUCGGCGAUAGUGGGGAGGAUUGAGGGGUGACAAAAGACAAAUAACCGAAUCCGAUCGGAAGUCGAGUUGUAAGAGUCGACAAAUCAUCGACAAGUUCACUCCUGUAAUUAUUAUGAUCCUGUAUGUAAUGAUUUUAAAAACAGUACGAGUUUACGGUUGUACGAACUAUUUUACGAAAAAGAUAGUUAUCCGACGAUGUUAAAAUUCUGAGCUUAAUGUUGAUGUACGUACAACAGAUACUCAUGGGAAAAACCAACGAAACUAAUAAUAAAAUCAAUGAAUUAGAAAAAAAAGUGCUAUAGGCAAAUAUCUUAUAAUAUACAGUGACAUAAUCUGCACUUUAUUAUAAAAUAAUUGAUCCGAGCAGAAUCUAUUAUAGAAGAAGAUUGCUGAAUAUGAUAGACAUUGUCGAAUACUAAUUGAAUAGAAUCAUUUAAUUAAUUUUCAAAGAAUUUGAUAUUUCUUCAAGGAAUCAAUAAGUCUCUCGCUAAUAGCCUAAUAGAUCCUUUGAUGGAUCUAACGAAGAAAUAUCUAACCGCGAUUACAGCCAAUUAGUUCAUAUUAUUCGCUACAUAAUUAAUGAUUGUAUCACGUACAGCGAUGCAGGCGGUAUUGAAGGAAAAAAGCCAUUUUAUAUUACAACUAUAACGACUAAAUUUACUCGUUUAACUUGAAAGGAAUUAAAAAAGAAUCUGACUUUUGAGUAAGCAUUAAGUAAGAAUUUUAAAUAUCGCAAACAGUGAUGUAGGUGUUAUUCAAGAAAAAAGAACAUUUUAUUUUUAACUAAUUGAUAAACUAAUUGAUAGUCGAAAAAGUGUAAAUAUAAUCAUAGUUUGUAGAAACUAUUAAAAUGAUAAAAAUGGACAUCGUAUUAAAUCGUUAAAGACAAGAAUUUACGAUAAAAAUUAAGAAAUUGUUCAAUUUGAUUUUGUUAUAAUGGAAAGAUCGUGUUUUACUAUGUCAAAAAAUCGUUAUCGUUUGAUUGACAUCCCGACACCUCGUCAAGUUAUAUAAGGAACACGCAAGUCGCACGCGAGCUCUUUCGUGCUUGAAUUCCCGGAGAGUGAACAUCGAGAAAGAACUUAAAUAUAAGAUGCUUCUAACGACUGAACUGUUUACAUUCAUCUGUUUUCGAGACGCCGCGCACACACAUACUUCCACACACUGAUACUCGCAUACAAGUUCUCUUACUGCGCGUUUAACCUAGUCCAGCACAGAAAAUUAUACAUAUCUCAACAUACCUCCUUAAUUUUUUGUGCUGCAUAUUCAUUUCCUUUUAUAAGUCAAUCAAACCAUUCUUAAAAGUAAUCUAAAAUUUUCAAAUUUGUUUCUCCCUAGAGCCUUCGUUAAAAUAUCAGCUACAUUAUUUUCUGAGUCUACUUUUAUAAUGUCAAUCUCUUUA